rnacentral:rRNA from 1 species
AGAGUUUGAUCAUGGCUCAGAAUCAACGCUGGCGGCGCGCUUAACACAUGCAAGUCGCACGAGAAAGGGAGCAAUCCUGAGUAAAGUGGCGUACGGGUGAGUAACACGUGGGAAUCUACCUCUUGGCGGGGAAUAACCCUGGGAAACCGGGGCUAAUACCGCAUAAGCUCGUGAGAGGAAAGCAGCAAUGCACCGAGAGAGGAGCCCGCGGCCGAUUAGCUAGUUGGUGGGGUAAUGGCUCACCAAGGCGAAGAUCGGUAGCCGGCCUGAGAGGGCACACGGCCACACUGGCACUGAAACACGGGCCAGACUCCUACGGGAGGCAGCAGUGGGGAAUCUUGCACAAUGGGGGAAACCCUGAUGCAGCGACGCCGCGUGAGCGAUGAAGCCCUUCGGGGUGUAAAGCUCUUUCGACAGGAACGAUAAUGACGGUACCUGGAGAAGAAGCUGCGGCUAACUACGUGCCAGCAGCCGCGGUAAUACGUAGGCAGCAAGCGUUGUUCGGAAUUACUGGGCGUAAAGAGUGUGUAGGCGGUUCGCUAAGUUUGGUGUGAAAUCUCCCGGCUUAACUGGGAGGGUGCGCCGAAAACUGGCGGGCUUGAGUAUGGGAGAGGAAAGCGGAAUUCCUGGUGUAGCGGUGAAAUGCGUAGAUAUCAGGAGGAACAUCUGUGGUGUAGACGGCUUUCUGGACCAUCACUGACGCUGAGACACGAAAGCGUGGGUAGCAAACAGGAUUAGAUACCCUGGUAGUCCACGCCCUAAACGAUGCAUACUUGGUGUGAGCCAUUCAUUUGGUUCGU